GCCGGCUUAGCUCAGUGGUUAGAGCGUCUGUCUUGUAAACAGAAGGCCGUAGGUUCGAUCCCUGCAUUCGGCA
rfam:Ascaris suum AG04431, whole genome shotgun sequence.